UUUUUUUUUUUUUAACUUUGCUUUAGCAUCCAUAAUUAUUAACCUAUUUGUGGUCAAUCAUUUGGGGCUAUUUUCUAUAUGUUGAAGCGAAUGAAAAUAUUAGCUGCAACUCCAACCCAAGUCAUUUGCUUAACCAAAGGCAUCAAAGGUUUAAUUUGAAGAUAUCAACCACAAGCCCAAUUCUCGCUUAACUGCUCGACCAAAUCAACUUAAUUGUUUGGCCCAUGCGAUUUUGCUAUCUCUUUUAAAACCACAACAAAAUAUUCCCAAUUAACUUUGUCUAGCUGUUGGCUUUAUCUACAGCUGUAUCAGCAGGACUUGCAUUAUCUUUACUUUAUCUACAGCUGUACCUCGCUGUAAGGCAUUACUCUUUGAGCAAGAGGAAUACUUGUAGUUUAUUUAAUGCUCUGGGUAUUUGGCAGUGAGUAGCAGCAGUCGAAAAUCAAUCUCUGUUUCUUGGUGAUUUUAGGCUCCUCGGCAUCUCCAGAUGGCUGUGACCACUGCUGCUUCUCUUCGGCGAGCAACGGUAUAUCAUGAGAAGAUACCUUUGCAGCACAGUUCUUCUUUAACUUUCUGUACAGCUUCAUAGAGUGGCUUUUGUUUCUUUUUCUUCAAAUACUUUCCAGUGUAGUGAAUGAAGCAUUCAACGGCGAGAGAAAUGGCGACGAUAACCGUGCACACGGCGGCGACCACCCACGUCGGAGUGAACUCCAAGCUGGUCCCUUCUCCUUCCCCGCCAGCCAUUUUCCUUGAGUAUUUCCGCAGAACCCCACUUCAAAUUAAGACGCGGAAAAGGCCAAAAAGAGGCAGAAAGCAUAGAGAUUUCUAGAUGCAUAAAAAUAGUGGUGUCAGUGGAAAAGAGAGAUCGAGCUUUGGUAGUCAAGGGCGAUGGAGAGGAGGGCGUUGAUUUGGCGGUGGAAGGAGGAGAGCAGGGAGCUUCUCACUGCCGUUCGCCGGAGAUUGAGGAGUCAGUGGCCUUGAACUUGGGGUGGUCCAGGCUGGAGAGCGCCAAGGAGGCUGUCGUUGCUGGGAAUUUGAGAUUAGGGCACGACGGCGGCGAGGAGCCGCUGUCACCGCCAGAAAUCGAGGGAGAGGAGUGUAGGCGAUUUGGGGCCUAGGGUUUGCUGAGGCGGCUGAAUUUGGGCGGCGACAGAGGGGAUGGAGAUGGCUUCUUGCCAGGAUUUCAGGAGCCACUUAGCGCGAGGGUGCGGCAAGGAGUUCAGUAGCUUCAGCAACGAAGAGAUCGUGCUUCAUCUGGGUAGCAGGCUUAUCCUUGACGGCCGUUUUCAGCUUCCUUGUGACAGCUUUAGGCAUCGGCUUGGUUUUUGACAGAUGAGAUCCUCUCCUCGGCGGCGGUCCGCCUAGCUCGAGUCGACGGUGCGGCGUCAUGAAUGCUCCAGCACCGACAGUGAGCCUUGGUGGCGGCGUGGCUUUUAGUCGGCUGAUCUGCUGAGUUGCCUCGCGGCGGUUCAGAUGGCGAGGGUACCAGCUACUGAAGCUUUUGUUGUCGGCAAAGGCGGUCAAUGACGGCGGUGUUUUAGAGGGAUGGAGGCGAUUCGUGGAUGACUUCAGGCUUCGGUUUUGCAUCACUCGUCGGCAUCCUCUUAGCGGACGCAGCAGCAGCCAUAACCGGUUUGGAGCGUGGAAGGAUGGAGUGUAUCGGGAGUGAGCUUAAAGGCACGUGGCGGUGGUGAUACAAGCCGACGACGGCGGAUCCCAAGAUUUCAGUGGGGCGUUUCACGGAAGACGGUCUUCGGAGCAGCAGCAGCAGUUCGCAUUUAAUCGAGGGUUCAAGGGUAGAGUAGAGACGAGCAGAGCUGAUUACUCAGGCACAUGCUUUCUCUUUUAGUUCAAAUUCUUCUGCAAUCAGUGCUCAACUUUUCAUCCAUGGCGUAGAGCUCCGGUAUGUUCCAGAUGCUUCCUGACAUGUCUAUGAAUGCUAACUGGAAGAAUUUCCAGACGUUUGAAGCAAAGUCCGUAGCCAGUAGCGAUCAACUUCUUAACCACUCAAGAUUAGUUUGCUCAAAGAUAUCAGCUCUCCGAAGUUUGAUGGUUUAGCUCGAAAUAUGAAUCUUCAGCAACAGCCAAAUAUUUCAGACGUUGUCGAUUUGGUGUUUCUAUGGAUUUUCAUCACCCACUUAUUGCUCUUGCCAUUCAAUUUCUCCUCAAGUCGUCUUGUUGCUUACAUCAUUUGGAGUAGAAAUAUUCUUGUAUCAAGAUGGAAGCACGGUGAGGAGAGAACAGAUCAGGAGUGGGUUUGGGCCUGCUUUAAUCACGUCGAGCGUGGAGAGAAGCGGCGGCGGGAGUAGCUCCUUGUUGGCGAAGGGAUUGGAGUUUGUUGAGGUCGGGCUUGGUCGUGGUGACAUUAUUGUCUAAAGGAGCAACGCCUUUAAUUCAGAGGCAGCUGAUUUCGUCGAGCUACAUUUCGCAUUGAAGCAGAAAUUCCGGCAGCUGACGGUAGUAUUUGUGAGAAGGGAUGAGCGCUUGUCAUCGGAAAGGCUUUUAGAUAGAACGGGUCUUCACGAGCCACGGCGGCUUCGAGUGCAGCCACAACCAACUUUGUCAAGCUCUGCUUCAAAUUUGGACACAAUUUUUAUCUAUGUGCGAGAGGAAGAGAAGGCGAUGGCCAUCUAUUCAUGGAGAUUCGAAACAUCAGCUUCACCAAUUUCAGAGCACCAACACUGGCGAAUGGGUUCCAUGAUUCAGCGGCGAUGAUCCUAAGUGCCGACCUCGCUGAUCUUGAAUGCGGCAGCAACAACAGGAUUUUUAAAAAGAGGGAUGGAACAGAUGACCAUGACCGGAGGGAGAAGGCGGCCUCGUCUAUGGCGGUUCUCACCAAUUUUGAAACAACGGCGGCAGCGGUAUUUACAUCUAUGCUUUCUGUAUGUCCACCGAGAGGGAGGAGACGAGCAUUGAGAGAUUGGGUAUUAGAUCCAUUUCUAGGGAGAUAAUUGGAUUCUUUCCCAUCUCAGCCCAUUUCCAAUUAAUGAAGGCCCAAAACAAUCAGACCCAUGAUAUUCUUAAUCCUCUCUUAAGCCCACGAACCAGCUGCAAAAUUGACCAACUUUGAAAAUCAUGAUCCAAUGCUAACUUCUUCUUCGUUUUUCUCUCUGUAUUUUUUUUUUUUUUUUUUUGCCAUGUCUUAUUUUGUCAUUCAAUUUCUUGAAUUCACAUUUUAUUUUGAUGCAAAUAAAUUUCUAAAUCUAAAUUCUGUUCUUCUUUUUCUUGCAGUUAGUGGCCGCAAGAACUUAAUGAUGGUGAUCUUCAAAAGACUGAUGCUUUAUUCCAUCGCUAUAUUCAAGAUGGGCGUGGUCUCAUUAACCAACUUCAUGGCAGAUUUUGCCCCAAACGAGAUGCUUUGAGUAUUUGCAAAGUUCGAAAUCUAUUGUCUUCUUUCUUUCAGUCUUGACAUCUUCAUCAGCCCGACUAAAGACCAUCCUCAGAGAGUUCAUCCAAAAAUCUGACAGCAGCCUAUCUAAGACUUUAUUUGAGUGAUGUUUACUUUGCACUUCAGGUGGCUCAAUUGGCUUUUAAUCAGAUUUCGGGUGCGCUCGGAUCUGGGCCAUUGUGAGUCCAACCUUUGAAGAUUGCUGGUUAUAUUUUCUCUUUGCGCGCAUUCGAGCAGGCUAGAUGACUCAAUGGUGUUCUAUUAUGUUUGGCGAACAUGUGUUUCAACUCCACGAACGAAUUCAACUUUAGCUUGGAGAGAAGUGAAGUUGUCUAUGCAUAGCCGACCUCAAUGCCACAUGACUCAAUUCUUUGACAGGUCUUGGGUGCGCUCAGGCCUGGGAUUGUUUGAAUCUGGUUUGAGUGAGGUUGUUGUUAUGUUUGGCAUCUCACGAAGUUGGGAGAAUUCUGCACAACAGCUCGAGAAGAUUGAGUAUUUUCUUCUUGAUGCUUAAGCCAAGGAGAAUGAAGCCAUCGUCCGAAUUGCUUUGAUCAAAGAAGAGCUUGCUAUGAUAGAGAGGUGGAAGACAGAGAUGACGUUGUCCUUCAAGCAAGAUAGUGCCUCCUUUCAUAUUGUCCGAGGUGCAAUCCCAGAAUUCAAAAGAGAGUUUGACAAACAUAAAGUUGCAUAUGUUGAUGAGGAAAUGCUGCGGAAUUUUGAAGACUUCAGAGUCACUUUUGAUCUCUGCUCAGAGAACUUUGGAGGAUCAAAACCUAUUUACUUAGUAUUGGUGCAAACCGCAGUUUCUAUCAUUUCUCUCUUGAUGCUUUUUAUUUGGUUUGUGAUGGAUAUUUUGACAUCUUCUCCAAA